ensembl:lncRNA
ACCCCCCCCCCCCCCCACGAGAUACGGGUGUGCUUUUAUCCAUGGCAACGUUUAUGAGCAGGUGUCUUUUGUAAUUCACUACUGAUUUUAUCUAGGGAGGUGCCCGCUUAAAGCAGCAUAGAGACGGGAGGUGUCUAUGAUUGUGUCAUUUCACUGCCUUUGCAAGCGAGUUACUGUCUGGGAUGAGCUGAUAAACCACAUCUGAUGAUCACAGUGGGUCUAGAAAGAGAGGGUAGGCGUGGUCGUUGUGAUAAUGACUCCCAACAGGGUGGAUUUAGGAGAGGGUAGGUGUGAUGGUAAUGACUCCCAACAGGGUGGAUUUAGGAGUGGGUAGGUGUGAUGGUAAUGACUCCCAACAGGGUGGAUUUAGGAGAGGAUAGGGGUGAUGGUAAUGACUCCCAACAGGGUGGAUUUAGGAGUGGGUAGGUGUGAUGGUAAUGACUCCCAACAGGGUGGAUCUAGGAGAGGAUAGGGGUGAUGGUAAUGACUCCCAACAGGGUGGAUCUAGGAGAGGUUAGGGGUGAUGGUAAUGACUCCCAACAGGGUGGAUCUAGGAGAGGGUAGGUGUGAUGGUAAUGACUCCCUACAGGGUGGAUCUAGGAGAGGUUAGGGGUGGUCAAUAUGGUAAUGAUGAAAAAAGGCUUCUUGUCGGAUGUUUUGUAAGCUGAGGUCAACUUUGCAGAUGUGCAGAUACAAUUGUUUCAUAUCUACAUUGCCUUCUCAAGACCUACUCCGUUUAUUUGAAUAAGGUGAUUCUUCAAUUUCAGUGCUCAGCUUGUUUUUUUUACACCAAGCAAUCAUUUUUCCUUCUGUCUUUUCCUCAACACAGCCUCUUCUCUUUCUUUAUUUCUUACUUGGAAUUAAAUUGAACUAACAGCUCAUGCUGACAAGCAAUAAAUAACUUAGCACCUCUGAGUAACUAAAUAAAUUGAUUUCCCAGAGCAAUGAUUCAUCGUGCACAUUUCAUUUUCGUCAAGUCAGUGUUGCCAAUAUUUCUGUCAAAGCAAAGGAGACGUUAUUACCCAAUAUCCUUAAGCAUUCUUUGGAAUUAACUAGCCAUUCAUUUAAUGGAGUUAAUUGCUGUGGAUAUCCUUAAUAAUCAUGAUCGCAAUUAUUAUGUAUAGUUUUUAAGUUCUGCUCUGAGCGUUCUCAUUGACUGUGAUCAUGAAUAAAUGUCUUGAAA